GAUGAACGCUGGCGGCGUGCCUAACACAUGCAAGUCAAGGAGAAGGUAACCUUUCGGGGGAACCGGAUACUGGCGCACGGGUGAGUAACACGUGGAUAAUCUGCCCUUUACACAGACAUAACUCAGGGAAACUUGAGCUAAUAUCUGAUGAGGCCUCCGGGUCAAAGCUACGGCGGUAAAGGAUGAGUCUGCGUCUGAUUAGCUAGUUGGUAAGGUAAUGGCUUACCAAGGCGACGAUCAGUAACUGGUCUGAGAGGACGAUCGGUCACACUGGAACUGAGACACGGUCCAGACUCCUACGGGAGGCAGCAGUGAGGAAUUUUGGACAAUGGGGGAAACCCUGAUCCAGCCAUGCCGCGUGAGUGAAGAAGGCC
rnacentral:rRNA from 1 species